rnacentral:lncRNA from 1 species
AUGACGUUCUUCCAAAACACAUUAAGCUGCAGUGGGAGGUCGACGGAGAACAACGCGCAGCACAAUCGGGAUUUGGGAAGUAUAGGCAAACACGGAGCAGGCGGGAGCUCCGGCGUCGACUUCCAGCAAAGCGCGGCAGCGAAGUGUUGGCGCUCCCAGCGUGAGCCUGAACGGGCCCACGUCCAACGCUGCCGCGCCACGACCACAUGUUUGAUGUCAGAUCCGCCGCUCCGCUUUAAACCUGCGUGUUCUGCUGGCGGCGAAGUCGACCUUCCAACGGGAACCUGCUUAAAAACGAGCUCCCAAAGGAGCGCCGGGUUCCUGCAGCGAAUGGGAGCAGGAAGUACACAUCUGGAUGCAGCAUCUGGAUGAAGCAUUGGCUCUGGUCCCUGAACCUCACAUGUGUGGACAUGAGCAUGUGUCCCCCCCCUGCACUCAAUAAUUCUGUACACUACAAUUUAUAUCCCUAAUUUAUUGUCUCAGUGAAUCUAAACGGGUCAGACUUGGACUCUUCCAGAAAAAGCCCUGGAAAAAGCCUUCAACUGUGAUUUCCUGUGAAAUAAUUUAAAAGUGAUUCAUUUUCACUCCUUUAAUGAGUUUAUUUAAAACGUUGAUUGUGUUUAUGUAACAAAAUGUCUAGUUUAGUCAGUAGCUUUGUGUUAAUGAGUCUUAGUGCCUUUUGCUACUUACAUAAAGCCCUUAAAAAGCUCAGGGAAAGCAAUUAAUAUGAAAAAAAGGCCGUGUGAUUCAGGACGUUGCUCCAGCUGCGUAGUCAAAGUACACGUAAAUGUAAAUUCAGCAUUACUCACCUCGGUCCCGCUUGCCAGUGUGUAAUUGAAAAACUGUGGGAUGCUGGAGAAUGAGUAAUGGGGCCCAGGCACCUAUAAUGGAUCAUUUCAGGUUUCUUUUCUGUUCACCACAAUGACCGGCCAAAGAAAAGUCUUUCAAGUGCGCUCAGUGAGGAGUGUGUUUGUUGGGCCGGGCCCAGCGCUGCUGCGGCCUGGCCGCGGGCCCGGCAGCCUCGUCUUUGGACAACAGUGAGCAGUCGAGGGGAGAAGCAGGAAAACAGAAUGAUGAACUUUACCGUGGUGGCAGAACAAGGUCGUCGUGACUCACCGCGCACUGACUUGGACUUUUCUCCUCUCGCCUCAACCUUGACACGCGUUUGAAGGCAACCUGGGAGAUGAGUGGAGGGACAGAUCAGCGUCUGAGACAGAAGCGUUCACAGCCAAACACGAGUGCAAACGAGACGUUUAACAGUUUAAGCGCCUUUGAAGAUUAUGGAUUCUUCUCAGCUGAGUGGAGUUCACUUCAGCUGUUCUGAUUUGUUAUUGUUGAUAUUUAUUAUUGCUAUUAAUAAUCCUGAAUGUCC